AUAUAAUGGAUCUCAGAAAAACCUCUAUCACAUUUUUCCUUGUCAUAAUCUUGGCAAUUUCGUCAUUCAACAACAAUGUUUUGGCCGUCUCAGGUACGAUGCUUCUUACAAAAGAUUUACUUUUAUUUUAUUUUAAUAUUCUUUAACUAUAUCUGAACAUUUUUAGACACUACAAGAAAACAGUCGUUUUGCGAGGAACAAUUGCGAGAGAAUUGCAAGUAUUUUGCUACACCACGGACGAACGUUGCUAAUCCCUCGCAAAUAUUGCGAGAGACUGUUUCCUCGCAAAUUUGCGAGAAAUGUACGAGUACUUUGCAAUUAACAAUAUCAACCCUCGCAAACCACUCGCAAAAAUCUCGCAAACCUUUACCCUAAACCCUAAAAUACAUAGAAAUGAUUUGGGAUCUUUGAUUUUUAUUAAUAAAUGUAAAUCUAAAUGACUGUAUAAUCAUACAAGUUGA
rnacentral:lncRNA from 1 species